CCAUUCAUGUGAAGCAGCAGGCGCGCAAUUACCCAAUCCUGACUCAGGGAGGUAGUGACAAGAAAUAACAAUAAACCGGCUUAUGCCGGUUUAAUUGGAAUGAGUACAAUUUAAACAUCUUAACGAGGAACAAUUGGAGGGCAAGUCUGGUGCCAGCAGCCGCGGUAAUUCCAGCUCCAAUAGCGUAUACUAAAGUUGUUGCAGUUAAAAAGCUCGUAGUUGGAUUUCUGUGGGGACGGAGCGGCCGGCCGCAACACGCGGUUCGAGCUAGCGCUUUCCCUACAUCCUGCCGCGAACCGUGCUACCAUUAGUUUGGUGGCGCCGGGGAUCGGCUCGAUUACUUUGAGAAAAAUAGAGUGUUCAAAGCAGGCCACACGCCUUGAAUAAGUUAGCAUGGAAUAAUAACUAAGGACUUCGGUUCUAUUUUGUUGGUGUUCGGGACUGAAGUAAUGAUUGAUAGGGACAGUUGGGGCGGUCUGUAUUCCAAAGCGAGAGGUGAAAUUCUUAGACCUUCGGAAGACAAACAGCUGCGAAAGCGUUCCGCAAGGAUGUUCCCUUUGAUCAAGAACGAAAGUUGGGGGAUCGAAGACGAUCAGAUACCGUCGUAGUCUCAACUAUAAACUAUACCAGCUAGGGAUCGGCCAACGUUAUUCUAUACCGACUUGGUCGGCACCUUAUGAGAAAUCAAAGCAUCUGGGUUCCGGGGGGAGUAUGGUCGCAAGGCUGAAACUUAAAGGAAUUGACGGAAGGGCACCACCAGCCGUGGAGCCUGUGGCUUAAUUUGACUCAACACGGGAAAACUUACCAGGUCCAGACAUAGUAAGGAUUGACAGAUUGAUAGCUCUUUCUUGAUUCUGUGGGUGGUGGUGCAUGGCCGUUCUUAGUUGGUGGAGUGAUUUGUCUGGUUAAUUCCGUUAACGAACGAGACCCCAGCCUGCUAAAUAGCGCGCGUGAGCUUUGCUCGCGGCGAGCUUCUUAGAGGGACUAUGAUGCGCGAUAGCACAUGGAAGUUUGGGGCAAUAACAGGUCUGUGAUGCCCUUAGAUGUUCUGGGCCGCACACGGGCUACACUGGCGCCUGCAACGAGCAUAUCAGCUGGCCCGAGAGGGUCUUGGCUAAUCUUUUGAACCGGCGCCGUGCUUGGGAUUGACCUUUGCAAUUGUUGGUCAUGCAACGAGGAAUGCCUUGUAAACGCGAGUCAUCAGCUCGCAUUGAAUACGUCCCUGCCCUUUGUACACACCGCCCGUCGCUCCUACCGAUGAAUGUUCCGAUGAAAUUUUCGGAGAGUGCCUGUGAACUUGGCUCUGCCUUGCGAACGGGAAGCUCAAAGUCACUUAAAUCUGAACAUUGGG
rnacentral:rRNA from 1 species